AAGUCGUAACAAGGUAACCGUAGGUGAACCUGCGGUUGGAUCAUUAAUAAAUCUAAAAGAGUCCUUCCCUGUAAAAACGGGUAGCGAUUUCUUUUUAACCAACUGUGAACUAAAUAUGUCUCUAGCGGGUUUCGGCCCGCUGCAAUAUCUUUUAAACUUUAUAUAAUUUUUGUCUUUAAUAAACUUUUUAAUAUAAAAAUAAUUAAAAAACAACUUUUAACAACGGAUCUCUAGGCUCUC
rnacentral:misc_RNA from 1 species